GAUGAACGCUGGCGGCGUGCCUAAUACAUGCAAGUCGAGCGAACGGACGAGAAGCUUGCUUCUCUGAUGUUAGCGGCGGACGGGUGAGUAACACGUGGAUAACCUACCUAUAAGACUGGGAUAACUUCGGGAAACCGUAGCUAAUACCGGAUAAUAUUUUGAACCGCAUGGUUCAAAAGUGAAGGACGGUCUUGCUGUCACUUAUAGAUGGAUCCGCGCUGCAUUAGCUAGUUGGUAAGGUAACGGCUUACCAAGGCAACGAUGCAUAGCCGACCUGAGAGGGUGAUCGGCCACACUGGAACUGAGACACGGUCCAGACUCCUACGGGAGGCAGCAGUAGGGAAUCUUCCGCAAUGGGCGAAAGCCUGACGGAGCAACGCCGCGUGAGUGAUGAAGGUCUUCGGAUCGUAAAACUCUGUUAUUAGUGAAGAACAUAUGUGUAAGUAACUGUGCACAUCUUGACGGUACCUAAUCAGAAAGCCACGGCUAACUACGUG
rnacentral:rRNA from 1 species